rnacentral:rRNA from 1 species
UAGGGAAUCUUCGGCAAUGGACGAAAGUCUGACCGAGCAACGCCGCGUGAGUGAAGAAGGUUUUCGGAUCGUAAAACUCUGUUGUUAGAGAAGAACAAGGACGUUAGUAACUGAACGUCCCCUGACGGUAUCUAACCAGAAAGCCACGGCUAACUACGUGCCAGCAGCCGCGGUAAUACGUAGGUGGCAAGCGUUGUCCGGAUUUAUUGGGCGUAAAGCGAGCGCAGGCGGUUUGUUAAGUCAGAUGUGAAAUCCCCGGGCUCAACCUGGGAACGGCAUCUGAUACUGGCAAGCUUGAGUCUCGUAGAGGGGGGUAGAAUUCCAGGUGUAGCGGUGAAAUGCGUAGAGAUCUGGAGGAAUACCGGUGGCGAAGGCGGCCCCCUGGACAAAGACUGACGCUCAGGUGCGAAAGCGUGGGGAGCAAACAGG